rnacentral:rRNA from 1 species
UGGGGAAUAUUGCACAAUGGGCGCAAGCCUGAUGCAGCCAUGCCGCGUGUAUGAAGAAGGCCUUCGGGUUGUAAAGUACUUUCAGCGGGGAGGAAGGCGAUAAGGUUAAUAACCUUGUCGAUUGACGUUACCCGCCGAAGAAGCACCGGCUAACUCCGUGCCAGCAGCCGCGGUAAUACGGAGGGUGCAAGCGUUAAUCGGAAUUACUGGGCGUAAAGCGCACGCAGGCGGUCUGUCAAGUCGGAUGUGAAAUCCCCGGGCUCAACCUGGGAACUGCAUUCGAAACUGGCAGGCUAGAGUCUUGUAGAGGGGGGUAGAAUUCCAGGUGUAGCGGUGAAAUGCGUAGAGAUCUGGAGGAAUACCGGUGGCGAAGGCGGCCCCCUGGACAAAGACUGACGCUCAGGUGCGAAAGCGUGGGGAGCAAACA